rnacentral:rRNA from 1 species
GACGAACGCUGGCGGCGUGCUUAACACAUGCAAGUCGAACGGAAAGGCCCUGCUUGCAGGGUACUCGAGUGGCGAACGGGUGAGUAACACGUGGGUGAUCUGCCCUGCACUUCGGGAUAAGCCUGGGAAACUGGGUCUAAUACCGGAUAUGACCUUCCAUGUAGUGUGGGGGGUGGAAAGAUUUAUCGGUGUGGGAUGAGCCCGCGGCCUAUCAGCUUGUUGGUGGGGUAAUGGCCUACCAAGGCGUCGACGGGUAGCCGGCCUGAGAGGGUGGACGGCCACAUUGGGACUGAGAUACGGCCCAGACUCCUACGGGAGGCAGCAGUGGGGAAUAUUGCACAAUGGGCGGAAGCCUUAUGCAGCGACGCCGCGUGGGGGAUGACGGCCUUCGGGUUGUAAACCUCUUUCGACAGGGACGAAGCUUCGGUGACGGUACCUGUAUAAGAAGCACCGGCUAACUACGUG